UACGUAGGGACCGAGCGUUGUCCGGAAUCAUUGGGCGUAAAGAGCGUGUAGGCGGCCUGUUAAGUCUUGCGUGAAAAUCUCGGGGCUCAACCCCGAGCGGUCGUGAGAAACUGGCAGGCUAGAGUGCGGGAGAGGAGAGUGGAAUUCCUGGUGUAGCGGUGAAAUGCGCAGAUAUCAGGAAGAACACCCGUGGCGAAGGCGGCUCUCUGGAACGCAACUGACGCUGAGACGCGAAAGCGUGGGGAGCAAACAGG
rnacentral:rRNA from 1 species